rnacentral:lncRNA from 13 species
AUGUGUGAAAUAUCUACAAUGAAAAACGUCAGUAGAACAUUCCCAAACAGAUACAUUUUAACCUCAGCAACCAUCAGCAACAGGAUAAAAAGUGAUUUAAAAAGAGAAAGGUUUUCGCAAUAUUUAUGCUGCUGUAUCUUCCCCGAAGGAGCUUUUAUUUUACCAUUCAAACGGAAGUUUGUUUUCAAACCAGUCGCUAAAGGAGCAGCGGCAAGAAUCAGCUCUAAGCCAACAGCAAGCGCGCGGGCAAAAGUGGCCGGUUCCCGCAGCCGCCGCGUGGGUCGGCCGCCCGCAGAAGCGCCGUCUUACCUUGAGCGCGCAGGACUGGGAGAGGCUCACGGGCUCCCACGGAGAGGGCCGGGAAGGCUGCGUGCGAUCCGCCGCAGGCGACACGCGCUCGGCUUUUAUGGGCAGGUGGGAGGAGCCGCCCCUCAUGGCAGUGGUCUCAACGAACCUUGGGAACCAGGUCUAAGCUUGUAAAGACGGACUGUCUGCAAAGCUCAUAAUGUGGCUGAAAAUCUGGGUCAUCAUUGUUAAGCACGGGGCUCUUUCUCGACCUGGCAAAGCAUCACAGCUCUCUCUGUGUUUGGAGAACCCAGGUUGUCUGAAAGGAAGUGUUAUUCAUUUAUAGCAUUUUCUGCAUUGUUCAUUUAAAGUAUCCUCUUUGAAAAGAUUCGACCAGAGGUCUCCAGACCCUUUCCAAUGUUAACUCUUAGGUAGGAGAGUGGAAGUUUAGUCCAUAAGAAACUUGAUGGUUCACUCAAGAAAAAAUACUUUUCUUCUAAAAACUGGGGGGUACCUCUGAAACAAAAGAGACUUUUAAUUCAAAGACAAUUGCAAUUGUUUUAUUGCAGUGAUGAGAAUGUACUAAGACAAAACUCAGUUGAGAGCUCCAUCUUGGCCUGGAAAGCGAACUGUCCAUGAAAAGGGGGUUGGGCUCUUGAAAAGCCUGAUUGCCAGUAGACAGAUAACUCUUCAUGCAGUCCAGUCACUUUAAUGUAAGUUUUUGGGAUGAAGCAUUUUUUGCUUUUCAUCUUGCUUUUCAGGCUUGUUGCUUUUAUAUAUCACUGUUUUUAAUGUAAACACUUCUAAAAAGCUUAAAUCCUAUUUAAGUCCCAAUGUAAGCUCGCUUUGCAUUGAUUAGGGAAGGGAUCUUAGACUGAGUCCUUGGUUUUGUUUUCCUCUAGGUAGAGUUGUAAUAAAGUUUUCCCCAUAGUUUGGACUUUAGGAGUU